GGCCAUGAGCAUGAGAGGGGACAAAAUGUUAUGGGGUGAAACAUGUUGGAAACAUGUUGUGUUAGUGUGUUAGGGGAGAAAGAAUAAAAUAAAGGGGUUAGUAAUAAAGAAAUGAAAAGGGAGGGGUGAUGAGAAAAAAAAAAAAAAAGGUUGUCUCAUCCAUGUUUCCCCCCAUUGCCGUGACUUGAGAAGCAAAAGAAAAGAAGAAAUCGGUUCUUCUUAGCUGAAAUGAAAAGAAGAAGAAAGGAAUGAAGCUAGAAAGGAGAGGGCAGCUGCAUGUAGUGGAAAACCAUGGAAUUUGUUUGCUUAGAAGUUAAAAAUUUCAAGUAGAAGGCUAACAAGGUAGGAGAAGGUGGUAGUAGACAAGGGAAAGAGCAAAUUGAAUAGGUGGAAUCGGUGUUGGGAACCUUGAUUUUGCUCGUUAGCUAUCGGAUUCGGGAUCAUUGAAGUCGAAGUCAUCCACACUAUCAAAGCCCCCAUUUUGGUACAAUUUUGGUUGAACUUUGAAAUGGCAUGUAUAGGACUACCCUUUUGUUGUAGGUUAUGUACCUUUCGGUUUUGUGUAAAUUCGGAUAGCCAUGCGAAAA